rnacentral:rRNA from 1 species
CCUACGGGCGGUAGCAGUGAGGAAUAUUGGUCAAUGGACGAGAGUCUGAACCAGCCAAGUAGCGUGAAGGAUGACUGCCCUAUGGGUUGUAAACUUCUUUUAUAUGGGAAUAAAAUGUUCCACGUGUGGGAUUUUGUAUGUACCAUAUGAAUAAGGAUCGGCUAACUCCGUGCCAGCAGCCGCGGUAAUACGGAGGAUCCGAGCGUUAUCCGGAUUUAUUGGGUUUAAAGGGAGCGUAGGUGGAUUGUUAAGUCAGUUGUGAAAGUUUGCGGCUCAACCGUAAAAUUGCAGUUGAAACUGGCAGUCUUGAGUACAGUAGAUGUGGGCGGAAUUCGUGGUGUAGCGGUGAAAUGCUUAGAUAUCACGAAGAACUCCGAUUGCGAAGGCAGUUCACUGGACUGCAACUGACACUGAGGCUCGAAAGUGUGGGUAUCAAACAGGAUUAGAUACCCUAGUAGUC